rnacentral:misc_RNA from 1 species
GAUGAAGAACGCAGCGAAAUGCGAUAAGUAAUGUGAAUUGCAGAAUUCCGUGAAUCAUCGAAUCUUUGAACGCACAUUGCGCCCCCUGGCAUUCCGGGGGGCAUGCCUGUCCGAGCGUCAUUUCUGCCCUCCAGCCCGGCUGGGUGUUGGGCGCUGUCCCCCCGGGGACACGCCCCAAAGGCAGUGGCGGCGCCGCGUCGGGUCCUCGAGCGUAUGGGGCUUUGUCACCCGCUCGGGGCGGACUCGUCGGCGCUGGUCUUCCUCCAGGCGACCCUUCGGGGCUCGUCUUCCUUCGGUUGACCUCGGAUCAGGUAGGGUUACCCGCUGAACUUAAGCAUAUCAAUAAGCGGAGGA